CUAACACUGGAGCUAACACUGGAAAGCUCACGUUUGGACACGGCACCAUCCUUAGGGUCCAUCCAA